rnacentral:tRNA from 2 species
GCGGGUGUAGCUCAAUGGCAGAGUACAAGCUUCCCAAGCUUGGAGUCGCGAGUUCGACCCUCGUCACCCGCU